rnacentral:snRNA from 1 species
UGAAGAAUGAUUCAUUGGA